rnacentral:rRNA from 1 species
CCUACGGGUGGCAGCAGUGGGGGAUAUUGCACAAUGGGGGCAACCCUGAUGCAGCGACGCCGCGUGAGCGAUGGAGUACUUCGGUAUGUAAAGCUCUGUCAGCAGGGAAGAGAAUGACGGUACCUGACCAAGAAGCCCCGGCUAAAUACGUGCCAGCAGCCGCGGUAAUACGUAGGGGGCAAGCGUUAUCCGGAAUUACUGGGUGUAAAGGGAGCGUAGACGGUAAUGCAAGUCUGGAGUGAAAGGCGGGGGCCCAACCCCCGGACUGCUCUGGAAACUGUGUAACUGGAGUGCAGGAGAGGCAGGCGGAAUUCCUAGUGUAGCGGUGAAAUGCGUAGAUAUUAGGAGGAACACCAGUGGCGAAGGCGGCCUGCUGGACUGUAACUGACGUUGAGGCUCGAAAGCGUGGGGAGCAAACAGGAUUAGAUACCCUGGUAGUC